CUCUGCUUUCCUUCCCAUCUGACGUGCUCUCCUCAAGCCUGUGUAAAAAGCAGCUCUGGAGCCCAUAAUGUGGCAGCCUGGGCCAACAUCCCCAAGAUUUGCUGUAGUGCAGUGGCGUGUCUUCUGUAGGUGCGAAGGGGAGGAGGCCAUGCACUAAGGAAAGUCAUCUGUUUUGUAAUGGACAACCACAACCCCUUCUGAAGAGUUCCAUCUCCAUCAGCCCCUCCUCAACUGAAUACAAGAAGGAAAAUUUCAGCUGGUCCUCUGGAAAAUUUUGGAAGGCAUCCCUUAAUAAAAAAUACGAGACAUGUCUUGAUCCAGUUUUUCUCAUGAUCUGUGCAGUGUCAAUUUGGUGUGCAAGUGUGAGACUGAAUCAUUAA
rnacentral:lncRNA from 1 species